rnacentral:rRNA from 1 species
UCGCCUACGGGGGGCAGCAGUGGGGAAUAUUGGGCAAUGGGCGCAAGCCUGACCCAGCAACGCCGCGUGAAGGAAGAAGGCUUUCGGGUUGUAAACUUCUUUUAUCAGGGACGAAGCAAGUGACGGUACCUGAUGAAUAAGCCACGGCUAACUACGUGCCAGCAGCCGCGGUAAUACGUAGGGAGCGAGCGUUGUCCGGAUUUACUGGGUGUAAAGGGCGUGUAGGCGGAGCUGCAAGUCAGAAGUGAAAUCUCCGGGCUCAACCCGGAAACUGCUUUUGAAACUGUAGCCCUUGAGUAUCGGAG